UACAAAUUAAUUUCCAUCAUCGGUUAUAAAGUAUAAAAUCAAUAAAUAAAUCUAACAAACAAUAUAGAAAAUGAUGACGUCGGUUCUGGAAUGCAAACGGAUACGUACGAUUAUCACGAAUGUCUCACCAAUCUAGCCGUUGGAUGAUAUGCGGUACGCAUGCCUGCCGAUGCACAGUUCUCACUCUCUCUCUAUAUAACUUCUACUCGAUCACGAUUAAUCGAAAACUUCUUCUCUCUCUAACUUCUGCUUCCCUUCCCUUUGUUCUAGAGAGAGAAAGUGCAGAGGCGGCGAUGGUUUAAAACUUGCUCCGUUAUCAGAGAGAGAAAGUGCAGUGGUUGACAAUCAAUCUCGAAAACUCGCGUCCUUCUGGUUCUUAGAGAGAAAAGGAAGAGAUGAAAUGGCUGCCGAUCAAUCGAAAUUGCGUCUGGCUCUCGUUAGGUUAUUGAGUUGCUGAUUUCGAUCACAACGUAUUCUAGAGAGAGAAAGUGAAGAGAAGAAUUGGAACAUGGUGGUGAUCUCAAUGAGGCUGUGUCAAUGCAGAUUUCACCGAAAGAGAUAGAAACAUAUUCAUUAAAUUUCAUAUGGCACAUAAUUAGAAACACUAAUUAUAAGUCUUUUUUUCACCUUUUUACUUUUUGAAACAUUUCUCUAUACUACUGUUCUAGAUGUCAUGAAACAUGUAUUGCUUCUCCACAAGUUGACCCGAACUUCACCAGAAGUGUAUUUGAUAGCGGACCAGGGCUCAGAACUGGUGAACCGUUCAUCUCCCAUCCAAGAGAAGCUAGACAGAUUCCCAUUGAGGUCAAGGAUGGGCCCGACUACAAAAUCAGCACGUUCUGGACAUGCUCCUAGAAUCGAGGGUGUCACUGAGACUGCAAUAGAACAUGUCCCAGAGACCAAGUGCUCCACAAGUUGGUGAUUUACCGGAUUAUGGUAGUGAAGAAGAAAUGAUUCGGGCUGCAAUUGGAGCUUCCAAACAAGAUUCCCAGAAUUGGCACAAGCAGUCUCUCUAUCUUUAAAGACUGCUGAGCAAGAGAAAUUAAGCUUUACGCCAACAAUGAUCUGAAGUGGGACCAUCAGAACCAAGGGGGUCUAAGAUGGUUGAGGUGGAAGAAAUGGAGACAUUGACAUCUCAGCACUAAUCGGGCAGCUUGGGCCUGGCACAUAUAUCUUUCAGGUUGAGCUACUUUACAAUGCUUUGGAAAAGAUGUUUUGGGCCUGGAUGGAUUUCAACAAUCUCAACAAACUUUUCAAGCCCAGUUUGUUUUUGAAUAUUAAUUCCUUUUCAAUUUACUAACCGACUUUCAUUCUAGAAUUUCAUGAAUUUUACACGAGACCAGAAGGCUGCAGCUCACAGCCCAGCACUAGGUGGUUAUGUUCUUGAAUCAUACUUCAUUUUAAAUUUGCUAAGGACUUUUCUAUUAAAAUUUCAUUUUUUCCUACACGAGACCCAACACUACAGCUGAUCACAGCACUAGGUGGUUACAAGUUUUUCUACACUAGACCCAAAGGCUGCAACUAGCAGCACCCGCACUAGGCAGGUUUUUCUAUACAAGACUUGAAGACUGCACCUCACAACUCAGCACUAGUCUGGAGACUCAAAGACGACUGGUCACAGGCUAACACUCUUGAGCCGAAGCAGGAGCAGAUCGAGUUCUUGCUUGUGAUCUUCAUUCUGGGAAAUCGAUGGGCUAUUUUGACAUUUCAGUUGAUCAUGUUCAUGGUCAGGUAAUGGGUAUUAUCUAUUUGAAGCAACGAAACCACAUCUUGUUAUAUUUGUAAUGGAUAGCAGUAUUGAUCAAGCCGCAUUUGACAAAGCUAAAGCAUUUAAGCGGAGUGUUGUUGUUGGAGCUUUUAUUGGUACAAAAAUGGAUGGUCAUGAAAAGGGUGGUGGAAAUUGCCAGACCCUGUAGUUACAAAUCUAUGCUAGUAUAUAAUGUCCAUUAAGACACGAAUCCAGUUUGACCAGUUAUCCAACCCGAAGUUAAAUAUUUUUCUUUUCUCAUUUUUACUGUGUAGCAAUUGGAGGACAGUUGGCCGAAGUCCAAGCUUGAAAGCAGAGUUUUUUCUACACGAGACCCCCCUGCGACUCGCAGCCCAACACUAGUGAGUUUACAAACCGAUUUCCGCUUAAAAAUGCCAACUUUUUUUACAAGAGACCCUAAGACGGCAGCUCACGGCCCAACACUAGUUUGUUUUGUUUUUCUACACGAGACCUCAAAACUACGCUCACAGCGGCUACAUGCCAAUUGCCAGAAGUCAUGAAACGCCUGUUGCUGCUCCACAAGUUGACCCGAACUUCACCAGAAGUAUAUUUGAUAGCGGACCAGGGCUCAGAAUUUGUGAACCAUUUAUCUCCCAUCCCGGAGAAGUUAGACAGAUUCCCAUUGAGGUCAAGGAUGGGCCCGGCCCCACUACAUAAUCAGAACGUUCCUGACAUGCUCCUAGAAUCGAGGAUGUCACAGAGACUGCAACAGAAAAUGUCCCAGAGACCAAGUGCUCCACAAGCAGUCUCUCUAGUCUCUAUCUUUAAAGACUGCCGAGCAAGAGAAAGCUUUACGCCAACAAGGAUCUGAAGUGGAACCCAUCAGAACGGAAGACUGCAACUCGCAGCCCAAUACAAGACCCAAAGACUGCAGCUCACAUCUCAGCACUAGUUGGAAGUUGGGAGCUCAUCAAUUCCAGAUGAAGUUGAAGAAGCAGAAGAACAACCUCUGGUUUGAAACAGUAGUCGACUUAUGUCCUCUCAAUCUAUUGAUUUUGCUGAAGACAUUGAAGAAGUACACCUAAACUUACUCUCCAGUUUCUGCAAAGAAAAAAAUAAAUAAAUAAAUAUCAGGGAAGAUUUAGUUAUUAAAUGAUUGAGAUGUGAGCUGCAGUCUUCGGGUCAUGUGUAAAAAAUCCGAAACUAUAAAACGGAAGCGGUUGGUAAACUGAAAAGAAUAUAAGAUUUACUAAGGACAUCUCUAUUAAAUUUUUACACGAAAAGAAUAUAAUUUUACACGAGACCAGAAGGCUGCAGCUCACAGCCCAGCACUAGGUGGUUAUGUUCUUGAGUCUUACUACUUUUUAAAUUUACUACGGACUUCUCUAUUAAAAUUUUCAUUUUACCUACACGGGGCCCAACACUACAGCUGAUCACAGCCCAGAUGUAGUCAGGUAUGUUUUACUUUUUUUUUUUCAGUGUUACUAACCUACUUUGAUUUUGACGUACAAGUUAUUUUUACAUCAUUUCUGUUUAAAAGUUUCAUUUUUUCUUAAACGAGACUUAACCCUAGAGCUUAUCACAGCCAAGAAGUAGUUGGUAUGUUCUACUUUUGUUUUCAAGUACAAAUUUUCUACACGAGAUCCCAUGACUGCAACUCGCAGCCCCGCACUAGGCAGCUAUGUUUUCGAAGAUGAAAUCUUUUUUUUACAUGAGAUCCUGAAAUUACAGUUCACUGCUGCAAUGUGUUGGGAUCUAAGCACAUGUCAGGUAUAGUCUUGAAUAAUACUUUAUAUUUAGUUUACCAACCGAUUUUCGUUUUAGCAUCAGUGUAACACAUGUCAGGUAUGUUCAAGGAUCUUUUAUUGUCUUUUCCGUUUGCCAACCGACUAUCGUUUGAAAAUUUCUGUUUUUCUACACGUGACCCGAAUAAUGCAGUUCACAGCCCGACAUCAGACAUGCAUGUUCUCAAAUUUGCUUCUUUUUUACACGAGACCCCAAAACUGCAGUUCACAGCCGUGCUAGUCAGGUACUAAUCGAUUCCAUUUAAAAGUUAACACCUAGCACAAGUCAGGUAUGUUCUGCAUUGUGCUUUGUUUUCCGUUUUACCAAUUGACUUUUGUUUUAACUUAUGUUUUUUACACCAGACCCCAAAACUUCAUUUUUAUAGUUUACUAACUGAUUUUCGUUUUAAAUUUUUUGUUUUUCUACAUGAGACCUCAAAUCUACGCUCACAGCGCCUACAUGCCAGGUAUGUUAAUAGAUCUUAUUUUUUCUCUCGUUUACCAACCAACUUACUUUACAAACUUCAGUUUUUUUUUACAAGACCAGAAAAUUGACGCACACAUCAUAGCAUUAGUCAGGUAUGUUCAUGAAUAUUACUUGAUUAUUAGUUUACUAACCAAAUUCUGUUAUAAAAUAUAUGUUUAUCUACACGAGACUCAAAUAAUGCUAUGAUGUGUGUGUUACAGCCCGACACCAGUCAGGUAUGUUCACAAAAAUUAUUUUCUCUUUUUCUAGUUUACUAACCAACUUCCAUCUAAACAUUCACAGCCUAGCACGAGUCAGGUGUGUUACAGCCUAACUCAAUGUUUUAAGACUUCUUAAAGUUCUUUCAUCAUAUGGAAGCCGGGUUUUUAGGAGUUUGUACUCGUUGAUUUGUAUAUACAAACCGUUUUUAUGAAAUUAUCAAAUUACUGAACCAUUGAAAUUCUGUUUUUAUGACCCACUAUAGAACCGUAAUCCUUAAGUUAAAUCUUGGUAUUGAAUACGGUUGUUAUUGAUUGAUUGAUAGAAUAUGAAUACAAGGCCCUAUAUAUAGAGAUACUAAUUACAAUUUGAUACCCUCAAUAAUAAUACACUUGUCUAUCUAAAAUAACUUAGUCUAAACACCUUAGCAUGUCAUAAAUGAAACGCAUUACAACCGUCUGCAGCUCACAACCCAGAAUUGGUCAGGCAUUUUCUGGAAUCGUUAUUCCUUUUCAGUUUUACUAAAUGUCGCCUGUUUUAAAAUUUCACGUCUUUCUACACGAGACUCUUAAGCCUGCAGCCCACAGCCUAGCACUAGUCAUGUAUGCUCAUGAUUUUUACUAACCGAUUUUCAUUUCAAAAUUUCAUAUUGGAAAUGUUGUGUUUCUUUUGGGUGUCUAUUGCAGCUAAACUUGUUGCUAAUCUGAUAACCGAAGCAGGAGCAGAUCGAGUUCUUGCAUGUGAUCUUCAUUCUGGGAAAUCGAUGGGCCCUUUUGACAUUCCAGUUGAUCAUGUUCAUGGUCAGCCCGUCAUACUUGAUUACCUUGCUAGCAAGAGAAAGUAAAAUUUAUUUCUACCUCAGUAAGUUUUUAUUAUGUUAGUUAUCAUGCUUUAUUAAUGUAAAUAUUUGAAUACCAUUAUUUUGUGGAUUCUUGUAAUGAAUUGAUGAGACAGACACCUGCAGAUGUCCUUAGUCAUAACAAGCUGUUUUUAAUUUGUUUUUCGCAAGACACUGAGCCAAAUGUAAUCUGCAAUUGUUCAUUUGGUGUUUUUUUUUUCUUUUGGUGGUUGCAAGAGUUGGCGAUUUAACUAUCAUGUCAAGCAGGCAUGAGCCUGUGAAUUUCACUCAACUGUACACAGAGUCAGGUUUGGAGAUGAUCGUAUCUGUUAGAUCCAGAAUAUCAAACCAGCAGACACUCGAUCUUUAUAACGGCUACAUGAUUUGCAUGUCUUAAAUAAAACACAUUACAACCGUCUGCAGCUCACAACCCAGAAAUAGUCGGGUAUUUUUUGGAAUCAUGCUUCCUUUCAGUUUUACUAUUCUACUUUCUUUUCUGUUUUAUUUCAGGCAUUUCUACAUCGGACUUACGGGCUGCUAUUGACAAUCCAACUGCAGGUUUGUUAAUGAUGCCUUUUAGGUUACUUCAUUUUAAGUUUACCAAGAACUUAAAAUUUCAUUUUUUUCUUCUACAUGAGACUUGAUACCUACAGCUUAUCACAGCCCAGAUGUAGUUGGUGUGUUCUACUUACUAACCAACUUUCGUUUUAAAGUACAAAUUUUUCUACACUAGACCCCAAGGCUGCAAUUCGCAGCCCCGCACUAGGCAGGUAUCUUCUUGAAUAUUACGCCUUUUUCUGUUUGCUAACUAGCUACCUGUUUAUAAUUUCAGGUUUUUCUAUAUGAGACUUGAAG